GCUGGGGUGGUGGAACUGGUAGACACGCUAUCUUGAGGGGGUAGUGGGCUUAUGCCCGUGCGGGUUCAAAUCCCGCCCUCAGUA
rnacentral:tRNA from 1 species